UUCGAAUCUGCGAACGGCUCCGCAUACCAGUUGUAAACUAUCGCAAGCUAGACCGGGGACGGGCUCUCUCGGGAGCCCGCCUUCGGGCUGUUAGGAUAACCCUGGUAAUUCUAAGGCUAAUACUCGUAUUAACCCCUAGUUAACCGGAAAGGCCCUUCACGGGGUCGGACUGGAAGGCUGGGGGACGUGUGUAUAAGCUUGAGAUGAACCAGGAAAGGAUGCACGUCCAGACCCGGCUAAAAGAGGAUGCGGACCACCCGUGUAUCCCCGCCUUCACGGGCGGGGAGAGAAGUGUAUGAACCUCGUUGGCUCUUGCUGUGUGCAUCUGACCUAUCAACUAGAUGGCAGCGUAACGGACAUGCCAUGGU
rnacentral:rRNA from 1 species